rnacentral:rRNA from 1 species
UCUCCGUUGGUGAACCAGCGGAGGGAUCAUUACCGAGUUUACAACUCCCAAACCCCUGUGAACAUACCUUAUGUUGCCUCGGCGGAUCAGCCCGCGCCCCGUAAAAAGGGACGGCCCGCCGCAGGAACCUUAAACUCUGUUUUUAGUGGAACUUCUGAGUAUAAAAAACAAAUAAAUCAAAACUUUCAACAACGGAUCUCUUGGUUCUGGCAUCGAUGAAGAACGCAGCAAAAUGCGAUAAGUAAUGUGAAUUGCAGAAUUCAGUGAAUCAUCGAAUCUUUGAACGCACAUUGCGCCCGCCAGUAUUCUGGCGGGCAUGCCUGUUCGAGCGUCAUUUCAACCCUCAAGCCCAGCUUGGUGUUGGGAGCUGCAGUCCUGCUGCACUCCCCAAAUACAUUGGCGGUCACGUCGAGCUUCCAUAGCGUAGUAAUUUACAUAUCGUUACUGGUAAUCGUCGCGGCCACGCCGUUAAACCCCAACUUCUGAAUGUUGACCUCGGAUCAGGUAGGAAUACCCGCUGAACUUAAGCAUAU